rnacentral:pre_miRNA from 1 species
AACUUUCUGAAUCCUGGGGGAGAUUUCAUCAGGCAUUAAACCCACUAAGACUGAUGAGACUCCUAAGAUAAUUGAAAUG